ACUUCCCCAGGGCUGCUAGAGUUCUGGGAUAGUGUGUUGGAACUUUUCAUACCCUGUCAUUGCUUCCUAAAUAAAUACUUGAUUGAACCAAACCGACAUAUUUAGGAUAAACGACCACGCAACGACAAAACACAACAUCAACUGAUGGGCUCGUCGCACAGUUCCUAAAUUAAGCCUGAUUCCCACACACAAUGAGGCAGUCACUGCACAUUAGGCCAAGACUCGCUGAAAGUCCAGAUUUGCAGUGCGGAAAAACGACGCCAUUGUAUCUGAUUGAAGCGGGACAGAUGAAAUGGAUCCAUCCUUCCACAGCCAGGAGCUCACCGACCUGUGUGCCACACUUCAGAUAAGACUAGAAGCUACACUGGAUCUCACAGCUACACACAACAGACGUCUACACACU